rnacentral:rRNA from 1 species
GACGAACGCUGGCGGCGUGCUUAACACAUGCAAGUCGAACGGAAAGGCCCUGCUUUUGUGGGGUGCUCGAGUGGCGAACGGGUGAGUAACACGUGAGUAACCUGCCCUUGACUUUGGGAUAACUUCAGGAAACUGGGGCUAAUACCGGAUAGGAGCUCCUGCUGCAUGGUGGGGGUUGGAAAGUUUCGGCGGUUGGGGAUGGACUCGCGGCUUAUCAGCUUGUUGGUGGGGUAGUGGCUUACCAAGGCUUUGACGGGUAGCCGGCCUGAGAGGGUGACCGGCCACAUUGGGACUGAGAUACGGCCCAGACUCCUACGGGAGGCAGCAGUGGGGAAUAUUGCACAAUGGGCGGAAGCCUGAUGCAGCAACGCCGCGUGCGGGAUGACGGCCUUCGGGUUGUAAACCGCUUUCGCCUGUGACGAAGCGUGAGUGACGGUAAUGGGUAAAGAAGCACCGGCUAACUACGUGCCAGCAGCCGCGGUGAUACGUAGGGUGCGAGCGUUGUCCGGAUUUAUUGGGCGUAAAGGGCUCGUAGGUGGUUGAUCGCGUCGGAAGUGUAAUCUUGGGGCUUAACCCUGAGCGUGCUUUCGAUACGGGUUGACUUGAGGAGGGUAGGGGAGAAUGGAAUUCCUGGUGGAGCGGUGGAAUGCGCAGAUAUCAGGAGGAACACCAGUGGCGAAGGCGGUUCUCUGGGCCUUUCCUGACGCUGAGGAGCGAAAGCGUGGGGAGCGAACAGGCUUAGAUACCCUGGUAGUCCACGCUGUAAACGGUGGGUACUAGGUGUGGGGUCCAUUCCACGGGUUCCGUGCCGUAGCUAACGCUUUAAGUACCCCGCCUGGGGAGUACGGCCGCAAGGCUAAAACUCAAAGGAAUUGACGGGGCCCCGCACAAGCGGCGGAGCAUGCGGAUUAAUUCGAUGCAACGCGUAGAACCUUACCUGGGUUUGACAUGGAUCGGGAGUGCUCAGAGAUGGGUGUGCCUCUUUUGGGGUCGGUUCACAGGUGGUGCAUGGCUGUCGUCAGCUCGUGUCGUGAGAUGUUGGGUUAAGUCCCGCAACGAGCGCAACCCUUGUUCACUGUUGCCAGCACGUUAUGGUGGGGACUCAGUGGAGACCGCCGGGGUCAACUCGGAGGAAGGUGGGGAUGACGUCAAGUCAUCAUGCCCCUUAUGUCCAGGGCUUCACGCAUGCUACAAUGGCUGGUACAGAGAGUGGCGAGCCUGUGAGGGUGAGCGAAUCUCGGAAAGCCGGUCUCAGUUCGGAUUGGGGUCUGCAACUCGACCCCAUGAAGUCGGAGUCGCUAGUAAUCGCAGAUCAGCAACGCUGCGGUGAAUACGUUCCCGGG